GGGGAUGUGGCUCAGUGCUGCAGAAUUUGCUGUGUAUGCAGAAAGUCCCAGGUUCAAUCCUUGGCAUUUCCA
rnacentral:tRNA from 1 species